AUGCUCGCUUUGGCAGUAUAUAUACUAAAAUGGGAACAAUACAGAGAAGAUUAGCAUGGCC
rnacentral:snRNA from 1 species